rnacentral:misc_RNA from 1 species
UAGGCUGAGGAUGUGUGCCAUCUGAAAGGCCCGUCUCUGAACUCGUUUCCCUAGGCUCAACCCUUGCAUUUCCAGUUGCAAUAGAGUUCAACAGGCUAGAGAGAAACCUACCGAGUGAGGGACUUGCACGAUCCCCUUGAUCAACAUUAACAGCUUCAAAUACAAAACUAUGAGAUAUACCAUUCCCGUGAUUUUGAGCAUCAGAAGUAAA